rnacentral:lncRNA from 13 species
AUGGGGCUCUGGGGACCGUCCUCAGCCAUCCCGGCCCGCCCGGGCCUCUCGGGAACCGUCCCCAGCCAUCCCCUGCCCGCCCGGGGCUCUCGGGGACCGUCCUCAGCCAUCCCGGCCCGCCCGGGCCUCUCGGGAACCGUCCCCAGCCAUCCCCUGCCCGCCCGGGGCUCUCGGGGACCGUCCCCAGCCAUCCCGGCCCGCCCGGGGCUCUCGGGGACCGUCCCCAGCCAUCCCGGCCCGCCCGGGGCUCUCGGGGACCGUUCCCAGCCAUCCCGGCCCGCCCGGGGCUCUCGGGGACCGUCCCCAGCCAUCCCCUGCCCGCCCGGGGCUCUCGGGGACCGUCCCCAGCCAUCCCCUGCCCGCCCGGGGCUCUCGGGGACCGUCCCCAGCCAUCCCGGCCCGCCGGGCGCUGCAGGGCGGUUCUCCUCCCGAGAGAGGGCAGCGCGCUCCAGCCGCUGCUGCUGCUGCUGUCCCGCUCCGGGCUCAGCCCGAGCCUGGGCUGGGGCUGGGGCGGGGGUACCGUGCCCAGGUGAAACCCUCCCCGAGCCCCCCCUGCCAGCAGACUCCGUGCUCGUCUCUCCCGGGGCUGGCGGGCAGGCCCAGGGCAGAGAUCCCUGGCUGGGAGCCUGCCUGGCUGACCUGGUGAGUGAAUCCAUCCCCUCCUGUCCCGCAGCGUGCAUGACAAAGCCGGAGGCAUCAAUCGUGCCUUGUAAAUUGACAGGGGAACCCCAGAGAUACCUCUGUGCUUCCCAGCGGGAGCUUUGGCCGGGGACCAGGCCGAGUUUACUCCAUCAGUUCCCUCUGAGAGCCAUGGAGGGGACAAGUCGGCAUCACACGGGACCUGCUGGGCCCAAAUUCUGCUUGGGGGAUCAUCCCCAUCAGAUCACAUUCUGCAGGAGAAGCUCUCACCCGAAACCUGGGCAUGGGGAGCUGAGCUCUGUUGCUGAUCCUGUCACCUCGUUACCGCAUGAGUUUGGCUCAGUUAGAGCGGCUCUUCUGGGAGAUGUGUCCUUGCUGUUCCUGGCUGUUGCUCUCAAGACCAGGAGUGUUGUUUUUCACAGACAUCCAAACCCUGCAGCUCCUGUGAGUGCCACAGGUUCCAGCAACCUGAGAGGGAAUCGCUGCAGGUCCAGAGCCAGGAGCUGCUAA